GUCAUACUUGUAGUCGGGCUCUGGCCCAGUUUUGUAAACUUGACCUGAUCUUUAAUGAAAUCAAAGUAAGUCUUUUGGACUUGAACUUUUCCUUUGUAUGUCUUUCUUCUUUCAUGUGUCGUGGAAUGCUUUUGAACACAUAAGUCGCUAGCCCGAUAGAUUAGUUAGGACGUUCGGUAAUGCAUGCCGCCACGAAGGCAGAGCAAAUCCCGACUUUGGAUCGGCCUUCCGAC
rnacentral:lncRNA from 1 species